UAGUCCCUACGGGGCGCAGCAGUGGGGAAUAUUGCGCAAUGGACGAAAGUCUGACGCAGCGACGCCGCGUGAGGGAUGAAGGUUUUCGGAUCGUAAACCUCUGUCAGGAGGGAAGAAAGCGCAUGGCGCCAAUCAGCCAUGCGUUGACGGUACCUCCAAAGGAAGCGCCGGCUAACUCCGUGCCAGCAGCCGCGGUAAUACGGAGGGCGCGAGCGUUAUCCGGAUUCACUGGGCGUAAAGGGAGCGCAGGCGGCACAGCAAGUCUGGUGUGAAAACCCGGGGCUCAACCCCGGGACUGCAUUGGA
rnacentral:rRNA from 1 species